CGAGGGUAAGCAAUAGCCACGAGUGAAAGAAAAAGGAAACUAAACAUUCACUUGUACUAUGAUUCAUUUUUUAUCAUAUAUAUUGCAUUCAUCUUGCUCAUUUUCGAAUUUCUUACAUUUCAUUUCAUCAUUUCUUUCUUACAUCACAUUUACCUCAAAAUACACAUUACAUUCUUUUCUUUACAUCAUUUAUCAUCAUGUACAAAAGAUGAUCAUAG
rnacentral:lncRNA from 1 species